CCAAGCUUCAUUUGUUUGUUUUGCAUUGAAGGAGACAAGCAAGUUUUGCUAUGUGUGCGAUCAACCGUAAUUGCCAUUUUUCUCAUUAAUGGCACCCAGGGCCGGCGCUUCCCAUAAGGUGACCAAGGCAGCCGCCUAGGGCGCCACAUAGGAGGGGGCGCCCUGCGUCCUCGUCGCCUGCCCUUCUAAUGCUGCAGCCGCCUGAGCGCUCUAUAGAGAGCCUCAGGCAGCUGCAGCACUGCCUCUCUC